rnacentral:rRNA from 1 species
CACGCAGUAAACGAUGAUUACUAGGAGUUUGCGAUAGACAGUAAGCUCCCGAGCGAAAGCGUUAAGUAAUCCACCUGGGGAGUACGCCGGCAACGGUGAAACUCAAAGGAAUUGACGGGGGCCCGCACAAGCGGAGGAACAUGUGGUUUAAUUCGAUGAGACGCGAGGAACCUUACCCGGGAUUGAACGUAAGGGGAAUAAUGUCAAAAGAUGUUAGCUAGCAAGAGCCACUUACGAGGUGC